AAAAAUAGAUGACCACUUUAAGGAAUGAACAGGAGUUAUCUAGGAAUGAAGGGGUCAGACCCAGGCUCAGCAAGACAGGGUUGCUUUCACAGCAGAGUGGAGGGGUGAAGCAGGGCAUCCUCAGUGGUAUUUUACAUCUCUGACUGACUUACGCAAGAGGCGCGCUGGGUUUCAACUUUCCUGACACAUGCAGCAAAUGGGCUGUUGGAAAACGGCCGCUUGCAAAAUCGGAGACAAGAUGGAGCUGGGAUAGUUUACAAAGACUAAGAUCCGGACUGGGAAAUGGCCCAGGAGUCUCUGUUUUCUUGUGGAUGGCACAGUCAGCUCGAUGGGUUGUGUUUGUCUGCUAGUGAUAUGUAAAUAAUCUGGGUUGUGUAUUUACACUUGAACUGUUCACCGAUUCCUGUUAUUUCAGACCACAUACGCCCACGAGGCUCCGGUUUCCUGGAAUCCCUCACUGGAGUCCACGAGGAGUCAUUGGGUCGGUAUGCUAUCUUUUGUUGAUAAUUGAGAACCUUCUGGAUACAACACAAGAACUUGAACACCCCCCCCCCCUUCAACCACCGCCGGACUUGGCUUCGUGUUUGAAGAAUUGCAGCACCCUUCUCUCUGUAUUCAAGCUGGAAUUUCUUGGGACUCUGUGACUAUGGCUCAGGUCUAGUUCCAAAGGCCUCCACAAUAUGAUUCAAAAACAGAAACAAGAUCCCGGCCUGAUAAAUUAUUCAUAGAUCUGCUUUGGACCUCAUAUUGCACAAGAGUUAUUCAAAAGGUCUUCCUUUUAUUAAACCAGAGUCAAGCUGCUGGGCAAAGAUAAAGAUUUCCGUGGGAGAGCAAAUCAAACGGCCCCGUGCCGUUUAUCACAUAUGCCGAUUUUAACUGAGAACUUCCCCGGGGAUAUUAAAUAUUUUCCACAUCUGAUUUCCGAAGCGAGAGAGGAAACACAGAUGGAGUCCAGUGCCUACUAUAAACUAGAGACUGCAGUGUUCCAUCAAGGCUCCCCAUGUAAGAAGUGCAUUGGUCCUUUAAUGACUUUAUAGUCUGAUGCCAAACGGAGGUGCACACAUAGAUAAAUUUAUUUAACAACUAGUGAAAGGAAACGAAAGAGGUAUGUGCGGCAAGCUUUGCAGGAAGAGAAAGCACAAACCUGACCUAGAGGAAGAGAUGCUGCUGGAGCUAAUGGAGGAGUUGCGGUUGCUUGGUCUACAUAGGAAGAGAGAGUUGGUGACACAUAAAACAUGAAAGUAGAAGUUAGCGUGAUGUAGCACAGGUGUGGGCAAGAACUACACGUGAAGGUGCCUCUGCACCGGAGUUUCCCUUUACCCAGCAGCCACUGCUCCUGAAGAAGAGCAAGACCCGGAAGCACCGGAAACAGACUUAUGAAGACCUCGGACCCUAGCCUUGAUUCUGACUCUCUCUGGGAUAUGAUGUCUGGGGAUCUGUACUCUAAACCCAGCACCCAGUGUUCCAGAGGCAGCCUAUGGUUGGAGACAGCCUUCUGUUGUGGCUUAGAUGCUCACUUACCAAAGGUGAUGGGGCAGCCCGGAAGCAACACAGCAACGUGGCCAAAGGUGGAAGCUUCUCAAGCCAGAACGAUUCCUUCCUCUUUAUGCUUUCCCGAGACUUUUGUCAUGGUAAGGGAGAGCCGUGUGCACAGCUUCACCUUAACUUAAUGUCCACUGUUGUCACAUGAGUAACAGAUGUGGGGAUCGAGGAAAAACCCGGAGUUGCAUUCUCUGAGAGAACUGAUGACAACAGGGUGGACAAAAAAAAAUGUGCUUGGUAAAUAUUGGGGUGGCGUGAUGGCCAAUCCCAGUUGUCAAUUUGACUAUGUCUGGAAGUCACUAAAACCCCAAGCAGCUGGGCUGGAUUAUUUGAGAUGGGAAGAUCCAUGCUAAACCCGGGCCACACCUUCUGGACAUGGAUGAAGGAAGCUUGUGCUUUUUGCCUGCUUGCCCUCUCUCUCACUGGAAAGUGCAUCUAUCUUGCUGUGGAGGUAGUCCUUUGCUGCUGUUAGAUCCCACUUCUUUAGGAUUCCAAUGAAGACAGGAAAACCGGCAGCUCCCUAGGUCGUCCCUGGGGCUCCAGCACCACAUGGGGACUGCUGAGACAUCCAAACUUGUGGACCGAACAGCUACCAGAUCCUUGGCCUUUCCAUCGGGAGACAGCUAUUGUUGGACUGCUCAGACCGCAGCCUGAAAACAAUUCUAAUAAAUUGCAUAUGGGCGUGCACGUGUGUGUGUGUGUGUGUGUGUGUGUGUGUGUGUGUGUGUGUUUUCAUUCUAUUGGUUGUAUUCCUUUAAAGAAUCCUGACUAAUACAGGGGAAAUCAUCAUCACUGGGAAAGAUAAUGAAACUGGGUGUUCAGGCCCAGCGAGAUGCUUUGAAAUGGGACCUAACCUUAGCAAUAAGGCAGAACAUUCCAAAUAUGGACUGGGACUUAAGCAACAGCAGUGUAAUAAACACCAGCAGUCACAACACCAACUGACGUGUUAGUUUCUAGUUUGCAAAAACGAGAAUAAUAAAGCUUUUCGGAGUACUAA
rnacentral:sRNA from 1 species